rnacentral:rRNA from 1 species
GUGGGGAAUAUUCCGCAAUGGACGAAAGUCUGACGGAGCAACGCCGCGUGAGUGAUGAAGGUUUUCGGACUGUAAAGCUCUGUUGUUUAGGACGAAAGUGCCUGUUGCGAACAGUUACAGGUAUUGACGGUACUGAACGAGGAAGCCACGGCUAACUACGUGCCAGCAGCCGCGGUAAUACGUAGGUGGCAAGCGUUGUCCGGAAUUAUUGGGCGUAAAGAGCAUGUAGGCGGGAAUCUAAGUCUGUUGUGAAAAUGCGGGGCUCAACCCCGUAUUGCGAUGGAAACUGGGUUUCUUGAGUGCAGGAGAGGAAAGGGGAAUUCCCAGUGUAGCGGUGAAAUGCGUAGAUAUUGGGAGGAACACCAGUGGCGAAGGCGCCUUUCUGGACUGUGUCUGACGCUGAGAUGCGAAAGCCAGGGUAGCGAACGGGAUUAGAAACCCGAGUAGUCC